rnacentral:rRNA from 1 species
GGGAAUAUUGGGCAAUGGGCGCAAGCCUGACCCAGCAACGCCGCGUGCAGGAAGAAGGUUUUCGGAUUGUAAACUGCUUUAGACAGGGAAGAUAAUGACAGUACCUGUAGAAUAAGCUCCGGCUAACUACGUGCCAGCAGCCGCGGUAAUACGUAGGGAGCAAGCGUUAUCCGGAUUUAUUGGGUGUAAAGGGUGCGUAGACGGGAAGGCAAGUUGGUUGUGAAAUCCCUCGGCUUAACUGAGGAACUGCAACCAAAACUAUCUUUCUUGAGUGCUGGAGAGGAAAGUGGAAUUCCUAGUGUAGCGGUGAAAUGCGUAGAUAUUAGGAGGAACACCAGUGGCGAAGGCGACUUUCUGGACAGUAACUGACGUUGAGGCACGAAAGUGUGGGGAGCAAACAG